CUCUGCGGUGCGGCCACGGCUUCUCAGGAUCAGUCAAGCCGCAGCAUGUUAACUGCAACGAAACCGGAAAUGACUCAAAGGAUUUACAAAGUAAAAGAUAGGAACGUCAGGAUCAAGUGCCAUGAAAAUUGGGUAGCAGGCAAGGGCGGGGGCAUCAUUUCUUGAGGCCCAACCAGGCUUUGCAGACAUUACCUCAUCGGUUGGUAAGAAGCAAGAACUGGUGUGUGACCCAACUCCUGGAAAUGGGUAGGACUUCCUCCUGCUCAGGAGCUGCCCUGGAGAGAGACAUCGAGCAGGUAUGGGGAUACUGACAAGCCCCCAGCUGAGUACCUUGAUUCUGGAUUUCUCCAAGGUUGGACUUGAUCACACUAUUCCACCACAAAGUGAAAUGCAAAGGGACAACCAGCAUCAACUCUUCAGAAUACUUCAGUUGGAGGGAUAUACAUUGUGGGAGUUUAUCAACAACUUCAAAGCUGUAAAUCUGUUUGUCAUACCUUAUUUCAUAACACUUUAACAACUUUAUGCAUUGACAAUAAUUACUUUCUGAUAUUGUGAAUAUAUUAAAAGGUGUGAAUUGGCAAAUUGAACUUAUCUGCUGGGCGCACUUUUGACCUCAAAUAGCUUAAGUGAUAAUUGCUCAUUCCAAAUGUUUGUUCAGCUGAAGCCUCUUGAUGGAAAAAAACUGAUCAGAUUUCCUUUGAACAUGGCGUGGUUGUAAGUGCCAGAGGUCAGCAGAUGGCCCCUGGUGACAGAUGUUACAUGGUGCAUACAGUAAAAAUAACACAAUGUCUUAUAGGAUGUAUGUAUUGUAAGGCCAAGGAGCUUUUUGGCUUUAUUCCCAUUGUAAUACAUAUCAAAAAAGACUAUUCUUUUCACCUCUGUAGACUUCAUUUUUGCCAAAAAUAUUCUUCAUACAUCCAUUUUCUUCUGCUUUAUCCGGAGUCGGGUUGCAGAGGCAGCAGUCUAAGCAAGUAUGCCCAGACGUCCCUCUCCCCAGACACCUCCUCCAGCUCCUCCUGGGGGAUCCCGAGAUGUUCCCAGACCAACUGAGAGACAUGGUCCCUCCAGUGUGUUCUAGGUGCGGAGUAUUACAGGAAUUUUUAAAACAUUACAAGCUACUUUUGUCAAACCUCCAAUUAAAAUAUGAGAUGGCUGGAAAUUUGAGCAAUAAGCACUACCCUUUUCUUCUGAAGUAAUUUAAGCUAUUGGAGUAGUAUUAAAACGUAGAUUUGCUUCUUUUUUUUUUUUUUUUUGGGGAUGUAUUCAAACGUUUUAUUUGAGUUAAGGUAGUAAC